GACGAACGCUGGCGGCGUGCCUAAUACAUGCAAGUCGAACGCUUCUUUCCUCCCGAGUGCUUGCCCUCAAUUGGAAAGAGGAGUGGCGGACGGGUGAGUAACACGUGGGUAACCUACCCAUCAGAGGGGGAUAACACUUGGAAACAGGUGCUAAUACCGCAUAACAGUUUAUGCCGCAUGGCAUAAGAGUGAAAGGCGCUUUCGGGUGUCGCUGAUGGAUGGACCCGCGGUGCAUUAGCUAGUUGGUGAGGUAACGGCUCACCAAGGCCACGAUGCAUAGCCGACCUGAGAGGGUGAUCGGCCACACUGGGACUGAGACACGGCUCAGACUCCUACGGGAGGCAGCAGUAGGGAAUCUUCGGCAAUGGACGAAAGUCUGACCGAGCAACGCCGCGUGAGUGAAGAAGGUUUUCGGAUCGUAAAACUCUGUUGUUAGAGAAGAACAAGGACGUUAGUAACUGAACGUCCCCUGACGGUAUCUAACCAGAAAGCCACGGCUAACUACGUG
rnacentral:rRNA from 1 species